UACAGAGGGGGCAAGCGUUAUUCGGAAUUAUUGGGCGUAAAGGGCGCGUAGGCGGCCUGGCAAGUGGAAGGUGAAAUCCCUCGGCUUAACCGAGGAACUGCCCUCCAAACUGCUUGGCUUGAGUCCGGGAGAGGUGAGUGGAAUUCCCAGUGUAGCGGUGAAAUGCGUAGAUAUUGAGAGGAACACCAGUGGCGAAGGCGGCUCACUGGACCGGAACUGACGCUGAGGCGCGAAAGCGUGGGGAGCGAACAGG
rnacentral:rRNA from 1 species